AGUUGGCGGAUUUUCUUUCCAGCCGGGAUGCAUCCUUCUGCUUUGGUGAGGAAUUCCGGGGGAAUAUCAACCACAGGACCCGGCCGUCCAGGCUGCGCCACGAGAGGAAGAGGAGAAUAGAAAGACUCCUUUAGCCCUGUCAGGUCCAAAAUGCAGUCUUCGGAGUCUAAGGUGAGAGCCUAAAAGAAAUCUUCAUGGAGAGACCAGACCUUCUUCAAGCAAACACCAAGAGGGACAGCUCUGAAACAAAAAGUGAUUGCAGAACAAAGGAGCAACAAUGUAACUUCAAGUCUGGCAGAGCUAGGACAGUGUGCUAAAACUAGGUGACCUGGUGUGGGUGUGGAUUACUGCAAGGCACAGCUGUUCGGAAUGUUUCAGAAUUGGUGUGACCAUCACAGUCUCGUACCAAACAGAUUUCAGGAGCCCCCAGAGCACGAGCAGCUGAAUGCUGUUGCUGCUCUGUUUUGCAAUCACCCAGACUCUCUUGAGCCCUCCUGGGGAAUUUCAUUAUGUCUUUGGAGUCGUUUUGAUUGACCCGGGAAGCUGCCCUCAGACUGGAGAAUGAACAGUCGAUAAAAAGAACUCAAGUUCUAAGAAAGAUGUAUGACUUCUUCCUUGGAAGAUAAUACCAUAUGUUUUAGUGUCUAAGUGAGUGGGAAUGUACUUUCAGUCAAUCUCGUAUU